rnacentral:rRNA from 1 species
GACGAACGCUGGCGGCGUGCCUAACACAUGCAAGUCGAACGGAGAUACGAUUUCGGUUGUAUCUUAGUGGCGAACGGGUGAGUAACGCGUGAGCAACCUGACUCUUAGAGGGGGAUAACACUCGGAAACGGGUGCUAAUACCGCAUAAGACCACGACAUGGCAUCAUGACGAGGUCAAAGGAGCAAUCCGCUGAGAGAGGGGCUCGCGUCCCAUUAGAUAGAUGGCGGGGUAAUGGCCCACCAUGUCAGCGAUGGGUAGCCGAGCUGAGAGGCUGAUCGGCCACACUGGAACUGAGACACGGUCCAGACUCCUACGGGAGGCAGCAGUGGGGAAUAUUGGGCAAUGGGCGCAAGCCUGACCCAGCAACGCCGCGUGAGGGAAGAAGGCUUUCGGGUGUAAACCUCUGUCCUUGGUGACGAAAAAAUGACGGUAGCCAAGGAGGAAGCCCGGCUAACUACGUGCCAGCAGCCGCGG